AUGGGGCUCCCCAUGGGAUCAGCCGCCGCCCAAACCUUUGUUCCAGCUCCAGGACCGCCACCGGUGUUGGGCCGUGGCCGUCGAUCCCUCGGCUCCUUGCUCCCCCAAGCCGGCAUCCUCUUCGACCGUGUGACGCCGCUUGCCUCGCACGGCGGUCUCCUCCUCGUGCGCUUCGUCCCGACUCGUCAUGCCUCGCGCCCGACCGUCAUCCACCUUGCCAUCUGUAACCUGCUCGCCGGCACGUGCGAGGCGCUUCCCCCACUGGAGUACAAGUCAUGCGAGAACAACGAUACGCUCAACGGCUUUGGCGUCCUAACAGGGGCCGACUUUCGCUCCAGCCGGCCGCCAUUGCCGGGCUUCUCCGUCUUAUUCAGAGUGCUGAUCAUCGGCGCCAGCCCGGACGGACGGCACUACCAUCUCUACACGUUCUCAUCUGAUGAACCGGGCUGGAGCGCGCCCACCGCUUGCCUGGACCGUUGCUUGCCGGAGAAGCACACGGCUUAUCUGCUGAUGCAGAACGACGCCGUCGUGCAAAGGGGCGCAGCACACUGGCUCUGCUGGGACUUUUCGGACGUCUACGACUUUGCGGUGGAUGCCGAGACCGGUCAGGCCUCUCUAGCCAAGCUCCCUUUCCCCGUUGCCACACGCUUCUUCUUGCCCCCUACAGCGCACGUCAACUUCGCGUUGGCGCCGACGGAUCGCUCUUGUUUCUUCGCCUGA
rnacentral:rRNA from 1 species